GCGAUACCACCAACCGACAGAAAUGGAGAACAGUUGAUUCAGAUUCAGCUGAUAUUCUCAGCACCAAGAAGUUUCCGGUCCCGGUACAGAUCAGUGAGGAAGAGGCUAUUGACAAGUGUGGAUUUGCCCAGGCCAGACUCUCCUGAGAGGAGAGAGGACAGAGGCACCAAAUCAGAAGGGACCCUUCUCUGGGCUGUCUGAUAGUCUGCAGAGACACAGCUGCUUCCGUGCUCUAGGAGAGAGGGACUCCUUGGAGAUCUGAUCUCACUAGUAGUCGUAAUUCUUUGGAUGGGCUCAGUUUGUACUGCUUCAUCCUUUGGGUAAGACAAAAUCCUACGGGGAACUCUGACUCCUUGGGGGUUCUGGACCUUGGAUGGUGGGUCAUCUUCUAAGAUUUGUGAUUGUAAGUUAUUCUUCU
rnacentral:lncRNA from 1 species